GACAUAGAGGAUGGUUACAGUUUCCAAGUAUACCAGUGGAUAUAUCUACUCCUUUUCUGCUCUGACAAGUUUUGCUUCUUAUAUUUUGAAGUGUUGGGGAAGACAGUCUUUGAGCAUCUGCUCUCCUACAUCUCCUACUGUGUGCACCAAGAUGGCAAACCCUGACCACUCUUACCUGGGCCAUUUCUCAGCACUGGGCAUGGAGGUGCCCAAAGCACUGAGGAUCACAAGUUGGAAUGUGGUGGCCACUGUAGGGGGAAGAAGCCCCAGGGCUCAGGCACCAGAAACUGGGAGGAAGAAGUGCCCAUGCUCAGACCAUGAGAAGAUGAGGGCAGCAUCCACACGCGUCUUGCUCAUCACUAAGGUCGGUCAGUCAGCGAACUUGUAAGGAGAACCUGCUCUGUGCCCACUAUUGCGUUGGGCUCCACCAUUCCUAAGGACGAAACGUGGACCUUGCCCACUGCUCUUUGCCUGUUGUCUGCCGAAAUGCUGGAGCUCAGCGUUAACUGCCUGCCUGCCAGAAGGCUCCGGGUCCUUGUAUUUUGAGAAGGAAGUUGGCCUGGAGCAGCCGGCCCCGUCAGAUCCAUCAGGAUUUCCCCCAGAGCGCACAUUGCUCACGGACUCGGCCCCCUUCCUCUUGCACCCCGGGCCCAAGUCACCUCUGGUGAGAACACAGGGGAACAGUAGAGACUCGUCGAAAUUGGUCUAACCCAGAGUUUCACGCACGUGUGUCAUCAGGAUCCAUUUCCCACCGAACACCUUUUAAGAUUCCAGGCAACCCCGACUGGGAAACUCCUGGAUGGCCG